GAUGAACGCUGGCGGCGUGCCUAAUACAUGCAAGUCGAGCGAACAGACGAGGAGCUUGCUCCUUUGACGUUAGCGGCGGACGGGUGAGUAACACGUGGGUAACCUACCUAUAAGACUGGGAUAACUUCGGGAAACCGGAGCUAAUACCGGAUAAUAUUUCGAACCGCAUGGUUCGAUAGUGAAAGAUGGCUUUGCUAUCACUUAUAGAUGGACCUGCGCCGUAUUAGCUAGUUGGUAAGGUAACGGCUUACCAAGGCAACGAUACGUAGCCGACCUGAGAGGGUGAUCGCACACACUGGAACUGAGACACGGUCCAGACUCCGACGGGAGGCAGCAGUAGGGAAUCUUCCGCAAUGGGGGAAAGCCUGACGGAGCAACGCCGCGGGAGUGAUGAAGGUCUUCGGAUCGUAGAACGAUGUUAUUAGGGAAGAAGAAACGUGUAAGUAACUGUGAACGUCUUGACGGUACCUAAUCAGAAAGCCACGGCUAACUACGUG
rnacentral:rRNA from 1 species